ACUCCUACGGGAGGCAGCAGUGGGGAAUAUUGCACAAUGGGCGCAAGCCUGAUGCAGCCAUGCCGCGUGUGUGAAGAAGGCCUUCGGUGUUGAUAAGCACUUUCAGCAGUGAGGAAGGUGGGUGUGUUAAUAGCAUACUCAUUUGACGUUAGCUGCAGAAGAAGCACCGGCUAACUCCGUGCCAGCAGCCGCGGUAAUACGGAGGGUGCGAGCGUUAAUCGGAAUUACUGGGCGUAAAGCGCAUGCAGGUGGUUUGUUAAGUCAGAUGUGAAAGCCCGGGGCUCAACCUCGGAAUUGCAUUUGAAACUGGCAAACUAGAGUACUGUAGAGGGGGGUGAGAAUUUCAGGUGUAGCGGUGAAAUGCGUAGAGAUCUGAAGGAAUACCGGUGGCGAAGGCGGCCCCCUGGACAGAUACUGACACUCAGAUGCGAAAGCGUGGGGAGCAAACAGGAUUAGAUACCCUGGUAGGAUAGCGU
rnacentral:rRNA from 1 species